rnacentral:rRNA from 1 species
UACGUAGGGAGCAAGCGUUGUCCGGAAUCAUUGGGCGUAAAGCGCGCGUAGGCGGCCCCGUAAGUCCGCUGUGAAAGUCACAGGCUCAACCUGUGAAUGCCGCUGGAAACUGUCUGGCUAGAGUCCGGAAGGGGCGAGUGGAAUUCCUGGUGUAGCGGUGAAAUGCGCAGAUAUCAGGAGGAACACCUAUGGCGAAGGCAGCUCGCUGGGACGGUACUGACGCUGAGGCGCGAAAGCGUGGGGAGCGGACAGG